UACGUAGGGCGCAAGCGUUGUCCGGAAUUAUUGGGCGUAAAGAGCUCGUAGGCGGUUUGUCGCGUCUGCUGUGAAAACCUAAGGCUCAACCUUGGGCUUGCAGUGGGUACGGGCAGACUAGAGUGCGGUAGGGGGUGACUGGAAUUCCUGGUGUAGCGGUGGAAUGCGCAGAUAUCAGGAGGAACACCGGUGGCGAAGGCGGCUCUCUGGGCCUUACCUGACGC
rnacentral:rRNA from 1 species